UCACUGGGUCAUUAAGAGCAAGUGGGGGCGAGGCGACAGCCCUCCCGCACGCUGGGUUGCAGCUGCACAGGUGGGGCAGGAGACCCUGUAGGAGGACCCCGGGCCGCAGGCCCCUGAGGAGCGAUGACGGAAUAUAAGCUGGUGGUGGUGGGCGCCGGCGGUGUGGG
rnacentral:sRNA from 1 species